GAGCAAUUGAUGAAUGAUUUAUUUUUUUGUUAUUCUGAUUCUAAUCCACGAAGCUUCAUAAUUCAGCUUUUUAAAACUGAUGCUCA